CCUACAGGAGGCAGCAGUGAGGAAUAUUGGUCAAUGGGCGCGAGCCUGAACCAGCCAAGUCGCGUGAGGGAUGAAGGUUCUAUGGAUCGUAAACUUCUUUUAUAAGGGAAUAAAGUGUGGGACGUGUCCUAUUUUGUAUGUACCUUAUGAAUAAGGAUCGGCUAACUCCGUGCCAGCAGCCGCGGUAGUACGGAGGAUCCGAGCGUUAUCCGGAUUUAUUGGGUUUACAGGGUGCGUAGGCGGUCUUUUACGUCAGCGGUGAAAUUCUGUGGCUCAACCAUAGAAUUGCCGUUGAGACUGGGGGGCUUGAGUAUGUUUGAGGCAGGCGGAAUGCGUGGUGUAGCGGUGAAAGGCUUAGAUAUCACGCAGAACCCCGAUUGCGAAGGCAGCCUGCCAAGCCAUGACUGACGCUGAUGCACGAAAGCGUGGGGAUCAAACAGGAUUAGAUACCCCGGUAGUC
rnacentral:rRNA from 1 species